ACGGGAGGCAGCAGUGGGGAAUUUUCCGCAAUGGGCGAAAGCCUGACGGAGCAACGCCGCGUGAGGGAUGAAGGCCUCUGGGCUGUAAACCUCUUUUAUCAAGGAAGAAGAUCUGACGGUACUUGAUGAAUAAGCCACGGCUAAUACCGUGCCAGCAGCCGCGGUAAUACGGGAGUGGCAAGCGUUAUCCGGAAUUAUUGGGCGUAAAGCGUCCGCAGGCGGCCCUUCAAGUCUGCUGUUAAAAAGUGGAGCUUAACUCCAUCAUGGCAGUGGAAACUGUUGGGCUUGAGUGUGGUAGGGGCAGAGGGAAUUCCCGGUGUAGCGGUGAAAUGCGUAGAUAUCGGGAAGAACACCAGUGGCGAAGGCGCUCUGCUGGGCCAUCACUGACGCUCAUGGACGAAAGCCAGGGGAGCGAAAGGGAUUAGAUACCCCUGUAGUCCUGGCCGUAAACGAUGAACACUAGGUGUCGGGGGAAUCGACCCCCUCGGUGUCGUAGCCAACGCGUUAAGUGUUCCGCCUGGGGAGUACGCACGCAAGUGUGAAACUCAAAGGAAUUGACGG
rnacentral:rRNA from 1 species